GGCGCUCAGUCAGUAGAGAAUCUGCCUGUGGUGCAGGAAACCCAGGUUCGAUCCCUGGGCUG
rnacentral:tRNA from 1 species